UUAAAGGAAGUUGACGGGGCCCGGCACAAGCGGAGGAGCAUGUGGUUUAAUUCGAUGAUACGCGAGGAACCUUACCUGGGCUCGAACGUAAGAUGACUGUAGGUGAAAGCUUACAUCUCUUCGGAGCAUUUUACGAGGUGCUGCAUGGUUGUCGUCAGCUCGUGCCGUGAGGUGUCGGGUUAAGUCCCAUAACGAGCGCAACCCCUACCUUUAGUUGCCAUCAGGUUAAGCUGGGGACUCUAAAGGAACUGCCUACGCAAGUAGUGAGGAAGGCGGGGAUGACGUCAAAUCAGCACGGCCCUUACGUCCAGGGCUACACACGUGCUACAAUGGCCGAUACAGAGGGCAGCUACCUGGUGACAGGAUGCAAAUCUCCAAAGUCGGUCUCAGUUCGGAUCGGAGUCUGCAACCCGACUCCGUGAAGUUGGAUUCGCUAGUAAUCGCGCAUCAGCCAUGGCGCGGUGAAUACGUUCCCGGGCCUU
rnacentral:rRNA from 1 species